rnacentral:rRNA from 1 species
CCUACGGGUGGCAGCAGUGGGGAAUAUUGCACAAUGGGCGAAAGCCUGAUGCAGCAACGCCGCAUGAGCGAUGAAGGUCUUCGGGUCGUAAAGCUCUGUCCUAAGGGAAGAAUAUUGACGGUACCUUAGGAGGAAGCCCCGGCUAACUACGUGCCAGCAGCCGCGGUAAUACGUAGGGGGCUAGCGUUAUCCGGAAUUACUGGGCGUAAAGGGUGCGUAGGCGGCACUUCAAGUCAGAGGUGAAAGGCUACGGCUCAACCGUAGUAAGCCUUUGAAAAUGUAGGGCUUGGUUGCAGGAGAGGAGAGGGGAAUUCCCAGUGUAGCGGUGAAAUGCGUAGAUAGUGGGAGGAACACCAGUUGCGUGGGCGGCUCUCUGGACUGUAACUGACGCUGAGGCACGAAAGGGUGGGGAGCGAACAGGAUUAGAUACCCUGGUAGUC